rnacentral:tRNA from 1 species
GGGGGCGGCUGGGUCCUGGUGGGCUCCACGGGCUUCAAACCCGGUGGCGGGCAGUGUCACUCCUGUCCGCGGUGGGUUCGAUUCCCACAUGCCCCCGCCA